rnacentral:lncRNA from 1 species
CAGAUACUGUACUGAAGUUUUUUUUUUCUUCUAGGGUUUUAUGGUUUAAGUGUAACAUUUAAGUCUUUAAUCUAUCUUGAAUUAAUUUUUGUAUAAAGUUUAAGGAAGGGAUCCAGUUUCAGCUUUCUACAUAUGGCUAGCCAGUUUUCCCAGCACCAUUUAUUGAAUAGGGAAUCCUUUCCCCAUUUCUUGUUUUUGUCAUGUUUGUCAAAGAUCAGAUGGUUGUAGAUGUGUGGUAUUAUUUCUGAGGGCUCUGUUCUGUUCCAUUGGUCUAUAUCUCCGUUUUGGUACCAGUACCAUGCUGUUUUGGUUACUGUAGCCUUGUAGUACAGUUUGAAGUCAGGUAGUGUGAUGCCUCCAGCUUUGUUCUUUUGGCUAAGUCUUUCAAUUUAUAAACAUGGUGUAUCUAUUUAUAUAGAUUGCUAAAGAUUUCUUUCAUCAGCAUUGUGUACAUCAGCAUUUCAGCUUACAUUUCCUGGGCAUGUUGUGUUAGAUUUAUACCAAAGUAUUUCAGUUUUUUGAGUGAUCAUAAAUGGUAUUACACUUUAAAUUUUGCUUUCCAUAAGUUCAUUGCUAGUGUGUAGAAAUACAAUUAAUUUUCAUAAGAGUAUCUUGUAUUAUGUAAUCUUGCUGAAUUCAUUUAUAAGUUCUAAGAGUUUUAAAUUCUUUUCUUCAGAUUUUCUAUAUAAAGAAUCAUGCCAUUUGAAAACAGGGACAAUUUUAUUCUGUUCUGUCUGUGUUUCUUUUGGAAAAAAAGAGGUUGCUUUAUAUAUAGACACUUCUAUUCUGAAAGCAAAGCAUUCUAAACCAUAUGAUUUUACCCCACGGACUUAAAUUUUAAACUUCUCUGCAUAACAUAUUGAAGCCUGUGCCAAGUGCUAUCUGGAAAAACGUGAGUAUAAUUAAGACAAUCAAGUGAUUCAGUCCCUACCUUUUUACAUUGUAGUGUCAGUUAGGAACAACAUGUAUGUUUCUUCUUCCACGUACUUUCCAUUUUAUCCUGUUGUAUUUGACAUCAAAUGUCUGUCUGCUGCACCAGAGAAAAGAGGGGAUGUUGGCUCCAAUGUAUGACAGGUGUCACUCAUAACAGUAACAAUAGGGGAUUUGGUUAGGUUUUCAUUUGUAAAAUUCUAGAGACUUGAUUUAAAAAGAUAUAGGAAGGAGCAAUGAGGGGAGUUGGUAAUGUGAGAACAAAAGCGAUUACUGUGCUUAAAGGAAAUAUGUAAUAGAGAAGGUUGACCAGGUUGUGAAGAAAACUAUAUUUUCCUCCCUAGGGCUUCUUGUCUUUGUAACUUGCUGAAUCACCCCUUGGACAUUUAAAAAUGUUCGCGCGUCAAGAGGAAGAUGACAGGUAAGGAAGCCAACCUGAAAAUCAACCUUUGCCUCUGUGGCUUGAGCUUGUUUUCCUAGUAAAUUACCUCUGCUGCUGAUGGCAUCGCAGAUCUGGGAAUUUUCGCAUUCCUCCUAAUCCUAGAGAGCAUACUAAAGAAUUUUUAGAAAUUGUUCUUUGUGGCUCCAGACUGCAAGAGGUGUAAGAAGUCCCACAUGUUGCCAGCAACCCUAAGAAGCUAUUUAGACCAAUUCCAAUUGACAUAAUUUAUCAAAAACUGAACUUAAAGGAUUAGUACUGAGAGGACUGGCAGAAGCCUUUUGCUGUUAGAUUUGCAGCAAUUGUUUGCACUAAAACUAUAAGGAGGAGAGCCAGUUCUGUGAGUUUGGGUAGAGAGGUAACUUAGCUUCUUGGCCUUUUUCUCCCCCUAGACAAAGUUAGAGCAGCAAUUUUUAUGUCUUAUUCCUUAGAGAGAGGAAUUUUGGUGAUUAAAAAGGAAGCAAAAGAUGCUGAAAGUUCCAGUUUAAUUUGAUUUAAUUUCUUUUGAGACAGGAACUCGCUUUGUCACCCAAGUUGCAGUGCAGUGGCAUGAUCUUGGCUCACUGCAUCCUCGACCUCCCAGGCUCAAGUAAUCCUUA